rnacentral:rRNA from 1 species
AGAGUUUGAUCCUGGCUCAGAAUCAACGCUGGCGGCGUGCCUAACACAUGCAAGUCGAACGCGAAAGGGGAGCAAUCCCUAAGUAGAGUGGCAAACGGGUGAGUAACACGUGGGUGACCUGCCUUCGAGUGGGGGAUAACCUUCCGAAAGGAGGGCGUAAUACCGCAUGACAUACCGUGUUUGGGGAUACACGGAUAUCAAAGCCGGGGAUCGCAAGACCUGGCGCUUGAAGAGGGGCCCGCGUCCGAUUAGCUAGUUGGUGGGGUAACGGCGUCACCAAGGCUCCGAUCGGUAUCCGGCCUGAGAGGGCGGACGGACACACUGGAACUGAGACACGGUCCAGACUCCUACGGGAGGCAGCAGUGGGGAAUUGUUCGCAAUGGGCGAAAGCCUGACGACGCAACGCCGCGUGGAGGAUGAAGAAUUUCGGUUCGUAAACUCCUUUCGACCGAGAUGAAUAUCCAUCGACCCAACACGUCGAUGGACUGACAGUAUCGAGAGAAGAAG